AUGUUUAAUAUGCGUGAAUUCACAGGGAUUAAUAUUGCAAUUAUUCCCGAUCCUGAAACACUGCAUGGAGACAUGGAUUAAAAUGCAAAGCCAUCUAAAUUUUUGGAAUCAAUUAAAAAAGAACAUAAAACAAAUCAGACGCAAAAGGGAGCGGAUCAGAACGCAGCGCAAAGAAAAGGGACCUGCUGCAUAAAUAAUCCUUUUGAGGCGCAAAGGCGCAAAUCCGGGGCUCCAGGCGGGUAAGCGCGCGGACCUUUCCCCUCCUGUGCGACACCGUUUCGCUUUUAAUGUUAAAACCCUAUUUCCAUUCUUUCCUUCUCAAAGCAGAUGCAAAAAAAAAACAAAACCCUUGCUCUGUGUGGGUUCAUUUCAUCACGCAGCCAUGAACAUCCAUCAGUUUGAUGGCCAGUGGUGCGGAUAAGGUCCAGAUCUAGCCAACAAGGGUUGCGUUUCCAAAAAUCAGGAACGGCCGUACGGAGGAGCGACCUUGGUGACGUGGAGACUAAACGUCCAAAAUUUUUACGAGAGGCUGACCUUCUGGUGCCAUUCUGGCUUACUCCAGAAGCUUCUAGCAUUCUCAGGAUGCUGAGACAAAUUUUUUUGGGUAUAUUGGGCCUCUGUUUUUGGGCUAGAUUUAGGACGUGAGUUAAUUUUUAUUGGGCUUUGGAAAUUUAGAAUUUGGGUCAAACAUUAUGUAAUUAGGGCUAAAGAAUUUUGGGGUAUUUGGUUAGAAAAUGGGUUUAUUGGAAUUGGGUUUUAAUUUUAUGUAAAGGGUUUUGGGUUAUUUGUUUAAUUGGGUUAGGUGUUUGUAAAUGGACUUUUUGGACUAUUUAUUUUGGUUUAUUUAUUUGCAAA